GAUGAACGCUAGCUACAUGCUUAACACAUGCAAGUCGAGGGACCGGCGCACGGGUGAGUAACACGUAUCCAACCUGCCCUUUACUCGGGGAUAGCCUUUCGAAAGAAAGAUUAAUACCCGAUAUAAAGGAUGGGGAUGCGUUCCAUUAGGUUGUGGGUGAGGUAACGGCCCACCAAGCCUUCGAUGGAGAGGGGUAUUGAGAGGAAGGUCCCCCAGAGUGGAACUGGGACACGGUCCAAACGCGUACGGGAGGCAGGAGUGAUGAAGAUAGGUCAGUGGGCGGUAGCCUGAACCAGCCAAGGAGCGUGAAGGAUGAAGGCUUAUGGAUCGUAAACUUCUUGUAUAUAAGAAUAUGUAUUAUAUGAAUAAGGAUCGGCUAACUCCGUGCCAGCAGCCGCGGUAAUAC
rnacentral:rRNA from 1 species